rnacentral:rRNA from 1 species
AUACGUAGGUGGCAAGCGUUGCCCGGAUUUAUUGGGCGUAAAGCGAGCGCAGGCGGUUUUUAAGUCUGAUGUGAAAGCCUUCGGCUCAACCGAAGAAGGGCAUCGGAAACUGGGAGACUUGAGUGCAGAAGAGGAGAGUGGAACUCCAUGUGUAGCGGUGAAAUGCGUAGAUAUAUGGAAGAACACCAGUGGCGAAGGCGGCUCUCUGGUCUGUAACUGACGCUGAGGCUCGAAAGCGUGGGUAGC